rnacentral:rRNA from 1 species
AUUGAACGCUGGCGGCAGGCCUAACACAUGCAAGUCGAACGAGUGGCGGACGGGUGAGUAAUGUCUGGGAAACUGCCUGAUGGAGGGGGAUAACUACUGGAAACGGUAGCUAAUACCGCAUACCAUCGGAUGUGCCCAGAUGGGAUUAGCUAGUAGGUGGGGUAAAGGCUCACCUGGGCGGCGAUCCCGUGCUGGUCUGAGAGGAUGAACAGCGACACUGGAACUGAGAGACGGUGCAGACUCCUACGGGAGGCAGCAGUGGGGAAUAGGGCACAAUGGGCGCAAGCCUGAUGCAGCCAUGCCGCGUGUAUGAAGAAGGGCUUCGGGUUGUAAAGUACUUACAGCGGGGAGGCGUUACCCGCAGAAGAAGCACCGGCUAACUCCGUGCCAGCCGCCGCGGUAAUUC